UACUGCCGGGGAGAUGGGGGCAUCAGGCAGGCCCCCAGCUGUCUCCAGCCACCAUUCAACAGCUGGUCUCCUUUGGAACAGCAUCAAUUAGCAACAUGAGCCUCAGAUACGUUUAGAGACCCAUGCUCGCUCUGUCAGCAGAGUGUGUAAAUCUUCUCAUAGCAGAAGAGGCGGACAGAGAAAUGUGCAAGCAGUAUAUACAGCAUUUUAUUCAGCGUAGUUCAGGAAAAUAUGUCUGCUUCCCUUCGUGUCCAGCAAAACAGCAGUAUAGCAAAAGCAACAUACAGCGGAAGUUCCCAGCAGACUGUGCUGGAAGUAAACAGGCAUGUGAUACACAACAGUCAUGCCUGACCCUUUUAAGGUGGAAUGGAACUAUAGCCUAACAUGAACCUGGGACCUUUUGCAUGCAAGGCAGAUUCUCUAACGCUGCUACCCAGGGGCGGAGGAAGGGGGGUGCGGUGGGUGUGGGUCACCCCGGGUAUCACUGCUUAGGGGGGUGACAAAAUUCCGGGCGGCACUUACCGUGAGGCCUGUAGCACAUCCAAGCCAUGUGUCUCUCCUGGUAGAGAGGCAGUGGUUUGAGCACGCAUAGGCUCCGCGCUGCCCAAACGGUCCGCCCACUGCCUCCCCCCCCCAGCUGUAGGGCAGCUGAGUGGGAGGAGGCAGGCAGACUCCAGAGCCCCUGCAGUGCGCCCCACCCCUAUGGAGGGUUCGUCCCGCCCCUGGGCGCGUCUCCCCAGGUGCCCAAGCAGCUUCCACAGCCACUGCUGAUACCCUUGGCAGUUCCUUCCCUUACCCCCUCCCCACAUUGCUGUUUUUCACACUGACAAAAUUCAUAUUGUAAGCUCCUUGGAGCAACCUGUCUUUCGUUCCUACAAUAUUCUGUGGAGCCGCAGGUUCUUUGGUGCAAUGUGGAUAAACUAAACAGGGCGAAGUAGCUCACAUUUUAACUUUUGAUAGGAGCAGCAUGGAUCUUAUCACUGCUUAGUUCCCACUGCACUGCACAUACUUAGAAGAGGGUGAAAGAGAGGAAUAGAAACAAACCAAGAAUUCUGGAGUUGGAAAGGAUCUUGGGAGGUGACCUGGAUCUAGGCUUCCCAAACUGGGAUCCACCAUGGACCACCAGUGGUCUGAGAGCUUCCUUCAGGGGCUCUGCGGCAUGCCUGUAUUAAAUAUUCACAUUGAUUGUAACUGUAUUUUUUAUUGCUUCUGUCAUUUAAAAUGCAAGUUGUAAUGCAAUAAAAUGGAACGUGAGAAAUUAGAGAAGCAAUAAACAUGCAAUUGAAUAUCACGCAGCAUUGUUCACAGCACAACUACUGUAGCAGGCAGGAAAAUCAUUAUGUGGUCUGCCAGUACCAUCAGUAAUGUUCAAGUGUUUCAUUGGGAGGGAAAUUGGGGGACCUCACUGUUGCAACUAGAGCAUCCUUGGCAGAUGGCUGUCUAGCCUGUAGUGAAGGACUGGCCACCCACCUCCGGAGGCAGUCUCUGUUCCUCUCUCUGCCCAACAGCUCUUGCUGUUAGGAAUUUUCUCCCCGUGUUUAGCUGAAAUCUGCUUCUUUGCCAUUUCUAACCAUUGCUUCUAGCCCUGCCUUCUGGAGCAACAGAGAACAAGCCUCUUCCAACAUCUGUGUUGCUCCAUCUUCAGCCAUUGCUAAAGCUGAUAUUUUGAAGACUGUAUAGUUGCACUAAGAGGUCAACAUAUAUUUAAUUAGUUCUGAGUUGACCUAUGGUGUACAUACCUACAUAUGUAUUACAAGUGUCACAUAACAUCCAUUUGGCAUUUGUGAGGAACUUAUCUCUUGGUGUGCCAGCUCCUAAACUGUGGAACUCCCUGCCCAUUGACUUUAGGCAGACACCUACACUGCAUUUUUUUCAACACCCACCAAAAACUUAUCUCCUUGGGCAGCCCACCCAGACAUGUAAAGCAGAUGUGUGUUUUUAAUAUGUUCCUUCCUCUUACUGUAUAGAACUCUAGAUGUCAAUCUUACUCAUUCUGCUUUUUCAUAAACUUGUUUUUAACGUUGAUUUUAUUAAUAAUUUUAAUGUAUACCUCUCCUGGGCUGGUUCACUCCAGCAGAGAUCCCUUUGUGGGCUGGAUUGCGCAGGCGCGUAAGCGCCCGCGAUUUCCUGCGUCUGCAUCUGCACAGAUACAAUUUUCAUUUUCUGCGCAUGCACAGAUGCGAUUUCCGGUGCUGUGGAAGUGAGUCCCUGCACCACGUUGGUUUAGCGCAGCACGCAGGGACUUGCCAAGUGGGCGGCUCAGUUCAGGGGCAGCUCAUGGGCCGGUUAAACGACCUCGUGGGCCACUUGUGGCCCACGGGCCUUGGGUUGCCUACCCCUGGCUUAGAGGUUUCAUUUACAGUUAAGCGGCAUACAAGUUUUGAAAAAUAAAAUUAAUGUGUGUGUGUGUGUGUGUGUGUGUGUGUUUGCACGUGGGUAUAUAAAUAUAUUCUAAUAUAUUUUACGGGCUCUGCUAAAACGACUGACCUAGUUUUGUAUCUGGUUUCAUUCAUGCAGAAAGUUGCUCCUUUCAGCAACUAAUACUCAUGCAGACACUUGUAUUUUUCGGAGCCGCUCGGUCCCUUUUGUUCCCCUCACUUCUUCUGUGUUCCUUUCUGCUCUGCCUCCUCCUUUGCUCUCACUGUCCUCGGCCUCAUUUGCCCUCACUGCUAUUCAAUUGGAUUGGCUGCGGCGAUCCUCGUGACUUUUUAUUUAGGCAUCCGCGAUGAUAUCACACCUGAUGCUGAUCUGUCACAUCAAAACAAAUGGGUGCCAAACGGCAUAGAAAUAACCAGAACGUUUGGCAAGUCAUUCCCCUCUCCCCGAUAAUUUUAUUCAGCCAUGUUAAGAUGCCAAUAUAGAAAUUGGAGAAUAUUCUGUGGAAAAUCUAAUACAUAAUGUAUAGAUCUGUUUGCUGGGGCAGAGUAAUGCAGUGAUGCCGAUAUUGUGUUUUGAUUUAGCUUGAAUUCCUACGGUUCUGGAUAGCGCUAUUAUUAUUUUUAAAUGUUAAAGAUCUGUGCUGCAAUAUGUUGAACUAAUAAAAAGGAAGGAAAUAGUGGAUGAGAUCCAGCAUCUCACCAAGAGCCCCUUCUUUUUCUCACCCCCUCCAGCUCCCCAUUCUCCCUCAGUCUCUCCCAGAGCAGAUUUUGGGGGCACAUGGGUUUCGGAGGGGAGGGGAAGGAAAAGAAGUCCUUUUUGCACAAGUGGAUCGGUUGUGCAAACAGAAUGUCGUAAUUGGAUAUUUCCCAGCAGUAAGAAAUUGAUCCUUCUGAAGUUUUUGCAUAGCCUCAUGAUCAGUUUCAAGUCUUUUGAACAGAGCACUGAGGUCCCUGAAUCAAUGUACAGUUUUUUGAUGAAAAUGAGAAGUGUGCUUUUUAUUGCAUAAAGUUAGUUCUGCUGAACUCAUGUGAAUGAGGGUGACAUCUGCCUUGAAACAUUUACUGCCUUAUUGUAAAAGUGCCUCAUUUGUUAUAGUGACUGGUGUAGGGCUACUUCAUACUUCAAAUUCCUAGGGGAUUGGUAUCAGUUCCUCAAUCGGCAUUUUAGCCCAUUGGACACAGAGCCAUAAAUACAUAAAAUAUGAGAGGGUCUUUAUUUUCUCUUUCUCUCUCUUUUCCACAUAGUCCUGACUGCUUUGGUUUCAUAGUGCAAGUUUCCCCCCACCCAUAAGAUGAUUUCUUCCCCUUCUCCCCAUAACCCCAUCUGGAUUCCUUAUGGAUGUUGUAAAAUAAAUAUUCUCAGAUAUCAGAAAGGGCUUUAUUCUAAAAGGUUUAUGAGAGUUCCUGAGAAUAUCAGAGCCAUCGGGCGAUUAAUCACCUUUCCAUGUUUGCGCUUUUAUUAUCUAUCCAUCUUUCUAUAGUCUAUCUAUCUGUCUAUUUGUCUAUCGAUCUCCUUGGAUAAAGAAGCAAGGAGCCAAACACUUUAGCCCAUUCAGCCCCCCAAAGCUAAUUUUAUGAAUUUGUUAACAGAUUGUUUCUUCGCCCUGCAUAGAUGAGGGUUAUUUUAAAUGUAAUUUGCUUCUGCUUUGCAGAGUGCAGAGAAACCAAUAGAAGUUGGAUGAGGCCCAAAUAAACAGACCUUGGGUUCAACAGGGGAAUAUUUUUUGUGGCGGUUCUUGUUUUGUAAACCCUUCCAAAACUCUUUUUAUCGUCGCCACAACAAGCAGUUUAGCAGGAUCCUGAGUGAGUUAAACAAAAGCGGUUUGGAAAUCCAGAAACUGAUUCCUUAUGCGUUUGAGAGAGGCUGGCCCUCUGGCUGCCUUUUCUCUCCCCCACCCCACCCCACCCCCCAAAAGAAAACCUCCUUUAAAACAAAUCGAGCCUGUCCACAAUUUCGAGCGUGCAUCGUCCAGCUCUUUGCCGAGGCUCUCUUCCCGGGUUUGCAGGGGUUAAAUUCUAGCUGCAGUGGGGAAGUGGCUCCGCCCCCCGUUUUCAGCACCUGGCGCUCUAUAGACAGUUGCCUCAGCAGUAGAUUUCAGAGGGGAUUGGAGGAAAACAAGAGGGGGAGAGAAUGUGACAACUGCCGACUCUGACUGCUGCCUUGGGGAGGCCUCUCGCACCUGUCCUUGCCUGUCUCUUGGCCAGUGCAGUUGUUGAAUCAGACAAGCAAGAGGAACAUUCUUAUUUGCCAGACCAGAACGGUGUGCAUAGGAGGAAAGGGAAGAGGAAGAAGAAGAAGAAGAAGAAAAAGAAGAAGGAGAAGAAGGAGAAGAUGACUUCUUCAUUCAAGCUGGAUUUUCUACCGGAGAUGAUGGUUGAUAGCCGCUUGCUAGUUUCCGACAGAAUGUAAGUACCGACUCAGCUGCCCGGCAGCAUCCGAACCUCAGACCGAGCCAGUUCCCGAGAUUCUAGAUGGUUGUAUUUUGUGUGCUUUUUUUCCCCCUGGAGGGUUUUGAUCGUAUAAACAAAAGCCCUGGAUUUCUCCCUCCCUUUCUCUUUCUCUCUCUCUCUCUGAGGCUACCGACUUGCUGCUAGAAGUGUCUGUGUAGCAGAGUAAGGAUUUAUUCCCUCUCUCUCGUCACUUGAAAAUUCUUUUGUGGUCUCUAAUGUAUGUGUGUGUGUGUGUGUGUUUUCUUGCACUCAUUCCCCCCCACACACCCUCCGUUGUGUUUGAUCUGCAACAUUCUCUAUCAGGGAAACUGGGGGGCGGCUAAUGGUAGCUGUAGAGCAGGGAUCCGAUAAGUAUGAUUUAUAUUCUGUUUAUUUAAUGUGGGGAAAUGCAGUGCCGAGCCUUGCAGGGUUUUGUUUUAUUUUAUUUUUAAGAAAGGCACACUCUUCACAUCCAGUGGAAAUUCCUAUACAGAUAUUUUGCCUCCUGCUUAGAAAUCUCAACUUGUUCAGGGGGUUAAGGCGCAACCUGCUCAGAUUAAGAAAGAAAAUGCACUUAAAAAUAAAUUAGCCACAGAUGCAGACUGUUUGGAUAUGUGGGAAAAUGUGGUCAGUUUUUGUGACAGAGCACGAAGGAAAUUAAAACGGACAAUUUUGCCCGUGUUGGCGGAUGCAUGGUAAAUUUAGUGUUAAUUAUUAGGAAGAUUAUUCUUGUAUACAGGGAUGGAAAGGCUAGAGAGAUUGAUUGGACAAUGUGCAUGCUAGAUUUUCAUGAAGGGAAACAGAUUUGGUUAAUUUUCAGCCUUGCCACUUGAUCUUUAAAGUUCCAGUUGCUCUAUCAUUGCCUGACAUCAGGAAAGGAAAAGAAAGUGUAUUUUGGGUUCUCUAGGAAAGAAAGGCAAAAAUUCAACAGAGUAAAUCUGGACCCUAACGUAACAUCAUUCCUGGAAAACAAAAUUAAUCCCAUCUGAAAUAAGAAUGAUAGGAUCACGCCGAACUUUGCAAACAAGAAUAUGACCAUGCUGGAUUUAUAUAAUGAAAAGGGAGGAAAUGAGAUUGCAGCACUGGCUAUGUGGUACGUCUCUUUAGUGGAAAGUGUGCGCAAGGUAGAAGUUUGAAUAAAACUUUGUACAUGGUCUUCAAAACUAUCAUUUUUUAAAAAAAGAAAAAGGAAUGGAAAUCCACUUCCUUCCCAUAUAGUCUGGUGCCGGCCAUAUUAUGAAUUCAUUCAAAGUUGUUGCACCUAAUUCUGCCCCACCCACCUCCCCGGUAAUUUUUCUCUUGGGGCUGUAGAUUUCUUAGCCGAUGGAGCGUUUGAGAUGAACUAUUCAUGAAAUAGCCAUCUGUUUCAGCUGCUGAGGAUUAAUGUGUUGCCGAGGUGGGGGUGUCAUAUUUAGUAUGGGUGAGCCUCUCUGUCAUAUGCAUUGUGCAUAAUACACAUGCGUCGUUGAUGCCUUCCACAGUCCAGUUUCGGAUAAUCCUAAAUUUAGAACAUGGUGUCUGUUGUUGGGAAUGGUGAGUUUCCGAAAUCGACCAUUUCGCUUGACUCGGAGCCUCAAUGGUAUGUGCUACAGUUGAUUGUUUUGUUUUGUUUUGUUGCUGUUAUGUUACCCAUCCUUCGCCCAGGAGAGUGCCAAGUUGACGCUCUCAAAUAGUUUUUGAGAAGAUCUGUCAAUGCACAAAUGUCCGCUUGUGUUCCUCUCAGCUUUAUACAUUCUUACUGCUGCCCCUCCAAAUCAGUCAGAAAAGAUAUUGCUGAUAACCAUCUUGGAACACCAGGGUUCUAUUACCUGAAUCUGGUGGUGUUUUGGCUGUCACUUAAGUUUAUGGAAAUACUUCCUCAACUCACCUAUUGAAGGAUGAGAAUCGUGUAAAAUUGUUCCUUCAGAAUCUUGCCUUCUGGAGUUGUGGGGCGAGGGGAAGCCCAUAAUUCUCCUUUUUUAAAAAGUACUAUGCCUCUGUUUGAAAACGAUGCAGAAUUAUAUUUUAAAAGGCUUUGAUAAAUAGCUUUGCAUUCACUCUGGGUUUUCCCCUCCCCUCCAUUAAAGAACACGAGCUGUAUCAGCAGUAACUCUUGUAUACAGUCUGCCUUAGCGAUCGUGUUAUGAGAUCUCAUCACAAUGCAGAAAUGUAACUUAGUGGAUGGUCCAAGCAGCUAUAAAGAUUGAUGCUUUCCAGGGAUUGCACAUGUCCUGUAUGCACAAUUAAUAAAGAAUAGUUUGCUGGCUUCAGCUGGGGCUGGAGGAAGACUAGUAGGGGGUGUCCAGUCUUUAAAUAAGGAUAUAUGACCUUGCACUUUCUCGAGAGUGGAAAACAAUUGCAUCAUUACAGUCUCUCUCUCUCCCACCCCCUGCCAAAGAUGCGAUUGGUUCGGUUUGUGUAUAAUUCUCUUUGGGAAGCCUUUGGAUUCAUCAGCGCUGAUGAAUGAACGGUUGUACAGCUUGAUUGCCCAUGAAGAGCCGUUUGUCAUACAAGCAUGUUGCCCUUUUAGGCCGCCCAGCCCAGAUGCCCGAAGCGACGCCACAAGCCUGGGAACCCAUUUAAUCUUUCUCUCGUUGCCUGUUGGGUGAGCGGCUCAAAAGUUUCGGCAAAGGGCACAAUCCGCAAGGAAGUUCUCUCCCUUCAAAUCCCUACUGAAAUGAAUGGGAAUGAGCCCAAUAGCGUGGUCAAUGGGUUGUUGCCCAACCCUUAAUUUUAUAUCCUAGGUGAGAACAACCAGUGCUGUCUUUAGCAAGGAUUAAUUGAUGUAGAUGGAAAAGGGUUGUCAGUUUUUUGUCUCUCCUAAACUGUUAGAAAAUGUCAUUUUCUAUAUUUUUUUGAAGGUUCUUUUGUUUGCCUAGGGAAGAACGACUAUCAUAAGAUAUUCCAAUGUUCAUGAAAGCUACUGCAUAUAAUUUUCGCUCUGCGUAAUCUUUAAACAUUGCCGGUUUGAAAUACAUAUUAUAGUUUUCAACUCUUUUAAGCUUUAUUUACGACUCCAAUAAUCAACAAGAAAGCAGUGGCUAUCCUCCCUCCCAAACACACACACACACAUUUGUGGAUUGGUUUCUUAUUACUCUUAAGAUAAUAACAUUUGAAUUGGGUGCUAUAUCGAAUGCAUGGUGCGUAUUACUUUAAUAGGCUAAGCUGACACUGAAAGUGUAAGUAUUCAGUCAUUUGUACUGAUGUAGAUACCGCCACAGCCUGGGCAAGAUGAGUAGGGCAAGAAAGUCCUGUAGUACUUCCUUCUGGAAUUCCAUAAUAAAAAAAUUGCCAUUAAACAAUACCCAUGGAGGGUAGCUGCUGGUGAUCCCAGCUGAUAUUAAGAGGUGGCGUAGAUGGUUCAUUUCCUUGUUGUGCCCUUUGCGGACUUCGUCUGGCUCUAUUUUUCAGUCGCAUAAAAUGUGAUGCAUUGCUUUAUCUCCCCGUGGCAGUUGUCAAUGGUGUAGAAGAACCAAGAAGCUAAGUCCAGAGGGUGAUACAUUGAGGUAUUAGCCAGGGCACCACAACAGGCAACAGCACACACACACACUCACCAUUCUGACUUCACGUGAGCACCUACAAAGCUCAGAGAAUUCUCUGUUUACCUUUCCCAGGCUAAGAUAUUCCAUUGGGUGCACUUUGGCUGAGGGGUGUCUCAAAUGUUGUGGCUGCCCUACCUGCUGGUUUCCUUCCCCUGGGCCAGGAGUAUAUCACAGCUAAUAAAACUGCCGGUCUUUACCUUUGAUAGCAUAGUAGUUCCUAAGACCACACACUUAUCAGCUUGGUCUCCAUCGCUGUCUUUGGAUUGUUAUACCAUUGUAAGCAAACCAAGCUUCAUCAUCAAAUUGCUCUGUGCUUACUCACUCCAAUCUAAGACCAUGUGACCUCCUGCCUUUUGGAGGAAUGGAGGAAGAAUAUCCUUGAUCACAAAGGUCUUAGUAACUUCCUCCUGUAAGUGGAGCAAACCUUAAUUCUUUCAGGGAACAUCGUGUGUUCUCUGGACCUCUUGAUAGCAAAUCUCUGGAUCAGAGUGAGCAUUGUUUAUAAGAGUCACCCCAAAAUGUAUGCUACAGCAUCCCUCGUGUACCAUAAAACAUCAUUUUCUGUAUUGAAAUAUCUUAGUCCUGAGCACGAGGUAGAAAGCUAACCCUUACUACAAUACUAAGGAAAUGUUUGGACUGCUCAAGAGAUGAAGUAAUUCAAGAGAACAUAAUGGUAUUUUGCAAUAAAAUAAAAUAAAAUAAAAUAAAAUAAAAUAAUUGGGAUGCUUGUGUUUUUUCCAGUAGCAAACACUAAUAAAGACAUCUCACAUCACUGAAAUCAACGGGGAGAACAAUGUUGGGUGGCUUUCACUCACCUAGUGAUUUUGCAGAAGGGCUACUCAUUAAGUUCAGUGGAGGCCAGAAGUCCCUAUAAACAUUCCUUUGCAUGCAUGGAUCUGUUGUUCCUGUUCAAAUGAACAGUGCAUUAUGGGUUCCAGAGAGUCCUGUAUCUGCAUUGGAGUUCACCUACAGGUUUGGCUUAGUGUGAUUAUCGAUUAUAUUAAUAUGAGCAUGGUUGUUCAUUUUGGACACUGUGCUCUUACAUCUUGAUGCGGCAGUCUAUCAACUCUGCUUAUCACUUUGGAUUCCAUUGCGCUCCUUUUUUUUGCCUACUCACUGACCAGAUCUGAGUGCCACAGACACCAACUAAAUUUGAGUUUUAUGUUUUAAUGACUCAAGAAUAUAAUCACGUGCAACUGAUUGGGUGCCACAGAAAAGUGCCAUGAGUUAUCCAUUAAAAUUAGUCUUUGAAUUAUCUCCCUCAUCUCUGAGAUGAGUCAAAUUUUCUCACAUGUAUGCCAAUGUGUUAAUUAUGUGGUGGUUGAUGAUAUAUUUGAAGAGCUGGCGUAUUUUUCUUUUAAGAUAUUCAGUGUACUAAAGAAUUUAAUCUAUACAGAGUUUCAUUGUCUGUGUAGCGCCCUUUCUGAGGGGGGCACAGAGUCUGGUAGAAAUUCAGCCGGGGAGGCACCCAUGUUUUUUCGAUUGCCUCACGAGAGAAAAUGCUCAACUGCAUUGAAAAAUAUUAAAUCACAAAAUAUGCAUUAUAAAAAGACCUGGAAACCUCCCCCCAAAAGAGAGAGAGAGAGAGAGAGAGAGAGAGAGAGAGAGAGAGAGGAGUGCUCAGCACCUAUUGCCAGUGAGAAACUGUGUACCUUGUUAUCUGCUGUUGUUUGAUGCUCUUUCCUUAUCGUAUGUUCGUAUUUUGGCAGACAGUUCUAGCAUUGAUCCGGCUGGCAGUAUCAUUUUAAAUUGUUCCACGUUGAUAGUUCAUUGUAAGUUGCUCUGUUCCGAUUCCUUUGGCAGCCAUUGAUGAAAAGCCUAAGGAAGGAGGAAUAAUAAAAAGAACCUUGAAUGAAGAUUAAAAGCUUCAAAACUGAAUAAGGAUUUUCAGUGAUACACAUGGUAAAUUAAGCUGCGGGCAGGGGGAUCCAAUAUAUUCGCCUUCCCUGCUCAUCUUUACAGCUAUUGUUAGAUAGUAUAAAGUCCAUGAUCUUAUUUUUACUUUGUACAAUGCCUAGAUUUUAAAGUAUUAUUAUUAUUAUUAUUAUUAUUAUUAUUGGCAUUGUGUAAACCAAAAACAAAUUGAAUCAAUUGCGAGGUUCUAAUCCGAUUGAAAAGAACACCCCACUCCAAAUGUGAAUGUAUGAGAUAAAAUGAAGAUGGUGCUUAUUCAACAUGCAGGAGAUGUAUUUUUUAAAGUUUAUUAAUAAUAGUGAUAUCACACUGCUUUUUCAACAUACCAGUUUCUCUCUAUCAGAUGUGAUAUAUCUUCCUUUAAUCUCACACAUUUUCAUUGUUCGCUUAUUUGUUUCUUGUCACCCAAACUAAAACCCAGUGACUAAUAUGAUUUAUUUAUUUUGCUUCCAUUGGAGAGAGAAAAGACAUUCUCCUAAACAUUUCAAAAUGGGUUUUGGUGUAUUUUAAUUGUCUUAGUAUUUUGUAGUAAUUUUGGCAAGUUUCAUAAUUAUUCCCACAUGUUCUUUAAAUAAUAGCAACAACAGCAACUCGGAAAUUGUGUAUGAAUGGCAGAGUGGGAGAAUUCAGGCAAUUUAAAAAUUCAUGGAAUGUAAAAAAAUGUUUAUCAUCAAGAAAUGGCCCACUAGAGAUUGGGAGAAGUCAUUGAUGCCCCACAGAAUAUGCAUAUCACACAAGCGCCUUAGAUCCAAGCUGGGGAGGGAUUGCUUCCUUCGAUUUUUUUAGCCCGACUAAUUCCUUUCCUUGUGGUGCUGUUUUGGGAUUGAAUCACUUAUUGUUGCAAAAAACAUAACCAUCUCUUCUGACAUGGUUAUGUGUGUUUGGUGGCAGGAGGUUUUGGGGAAAGAGCGAAGUCCAGAUUUUGCAGGGAGAGAAUUAGCUCUUGGGGAAGAAGAAAGGAGAGGCAACUCACUGGGGGGGAAAGGAAUGCCAACACGAGAGAAUCUCUUUGGAAAAUAAAAACUAAUUGGAGCAAUAAAAGUGAUGCUCUAAAGUAAUUCUGGAAUAAUUGUUCCUAUUUAGAAUCAUCAGCCUUUAAUUGCUUUGCCCACACUCCCAAGCUCAAUUUUCGCAUGUGAAGGGAGACCAAAUAAUUUCCUGCAAAAAAAUCUAACUUCUGAUGUCAAAUGCUCCCUUUCUCUUGGGAAGGCCCCCCAGCUCAGUGGGUGCACACAUACUGUAUCCGAAAAACCUACAAAGUUUAAUCCCUGGUCUUUCUAGAUAGUGCUAAGAACCACCUUUUUCUGAAACCUUGGAGAACUGCUUCCCAUCAUCGUAAGCAAUAGUGGAAGCACAUCCGUCUAUUCCUGGUCUAUGUUUACCCAUAAGUCUGUUCCAACCCAGUUCCACAUUAAUCUGAAUCCCUUAAAAUAAAAAAGGAUGAAAUUUCACAUUUAAAUUUGUUUUUAAAUCUCUAAACGUUCCCCCUGAGAAUAUGCGGUUCUAAAUGCUUUUUCUCUCAAAACACACCUGUAAAAACAUAUUUUGAUAUGUGCAUUUCAGCUCAGAGCAUUCCCAAAGUGCAAAGGCCGGUGGGUAACUUAAGUUCUGAUCUGUCCGUUAGUCUGGUGUGUGUGUGUGCCAAUCAAGGCAGUUUGUACUGGGAUUUGCAAAGAUCAAAUCACUCAAGCACCCUGAAAAUACAAUACUGAGCUAGAUGGAUCCCAAGCUCUGGCUGCUCCAAGACGGCUUCCUGUUUUCCUACUCAAGAUUUUAAGAAUGUUCUCCAAUGCUUUGAUUGCCUUUGGCUCCCUCCACCCAUUCUGUAUCUCCUGUGAAUGGUGUUGACGGGUGUUCAGUGUGGUCCUCCGGUUGGCUUUACUGCUGCUAAGCCUAGACCUUUGUCCUUCUCUCAUAGCUCACGUAUGUCACUCUUCCUCAGGAGGAUGCCGUUUUGACAAUCAAUUCCUCCUCACAAUGCCAGCAUAUAUCAUAGAAAUGUGCUUCUCCUUGGCAGCAUAUCUGUUUUCUUCACAGCUUGAGCCCCUUCAGAUAAUAACGUUGAAAUUAUAACAGAGGCAAUAUGAUUGCCUGGCAUUUAAAAUGUCAUUGGGAAGCAACUUUUGUUUUACGCUCAGCCUUAAACACACCGUAUUCCAGCGAAUGCCCAGGUGAGCCCGUUUUGCAGAGAGAUUGCCUGCUAUCCUUGCGUGCCCAUAACUAGCUGGAUAACAAGCCUGCUACGAAUCUGGACCUGGUGACCUCAUGGAAAGGUUGCAACUCAGUGGUAGCGUUAUCUUCUUUGUGUGCAGGAUGUCACAUGAUCAAUCCAUGACAGCUCCAAAUGGGGCUGAGAACGUCCUCUGUCUGAAACCCUGGAGGGCCGUUGCCAACCAGAGAAGACUGGCAGAUGGAUCGUGGUCUGACUCAGUAUCAGACAGCUUCCUAUGUUCCUAAAUGUCAAGGGAAGGGAGUUCAGCCUUAGCUACAGGACCAAGCUGCAGUGGCAGCCUUUGUAUUCACCAAGCUUCUCUAGGAAGAACCAGAGUGGUAGAACUUCUGCUUUUCAUACAGAAGGUCUCCAUUUCAGUCAUCAGCAUCUCCAGGUAGGGCUGGGAAUGUUCCCUGGCUGAAACCCUGGAGACCAGCUGUCAGUCAGUGUGGACAACACUAAACUAGCUGGAUCAACAGGCAAAUUCAGUAGAAAUCAGGUUCCUAUCUGCCAAUAGGUCAUGCCUGCUGUUUUCCUUGCCCCUCCAACCUCCACCUAACAGAAAGCCAUGUCUUGGACAGAUGAAGGGAUCUCCUGUUGCUGUAUCUGAGCAUUGUUUCAUCUUGUUUUGCAUAUUCUUAAUUGCCAUCGGCAGUUCUCUGAAAGCUUUGCAGGUUCAUGGAAGCAUUCCCUCUGUUGAAAACGCUGAGCAAGUCUGUUGAUCCAUGAGCUUCAUUUAUACAUUGGAAUGGGCCACAAGCACCUAGACUGGGUGGCGUUCAAGGCUGGGUCACCUAUGUAUGUCCCACACUUCUUAAAGUGAUAAUGCCAGGUGAUGGCUACUACAGCUGAAACAUCUCAUGGCUGGCUAGUGAGAGGAAGUUGACCUCUGGUGUUUCAAACAAUGUCCCAUUUUUUCAGCACAAACACCGAUGGCUCACUGGACUUGCAGUUGAAGAGUCAGCCAAUGGCUAAAGCGUUGUGUCUGCAUUCCAGAAUUUUUUGUAAUCAAUUCUUGGAUAAUGUAUGUGAAGUAUUUGAAAUACAGGGGGGGUUCUAUAUGGAGAUUUGGUGGUUAAUAAUAAUCAUUAGCACAACUAUGUUUGCUUGGAGGUAGGUUUUCGAAAACAUAUUACAGUGGCGCUUAGGAACCCUGCCAUAUUAUUAAAGAUGGAUGGAUCUGUCAGUUUCAGGUCUCUCAUUUUUCUACAUUUCUGCAUCAGUUUGCUUGCAAAAAGAAAAAGAAAAAACUCUUACAAAAAUGCAUCAUCGUUUUAGUGUACGCUUCUACCUUUGUGCGUAAGUUUGCCUAAUUGAAACAAUUUUGCAAGCAGUUUUCCCUAAUAUGCAUUCUGUAUGUUAUCCUCACUAAUAUUGGCAAUUUUUGCACACCCAUUCCCCAAUGCACCCAUUUCUAUACAAUUUUUUGGGAAGGUGGGGAGCUGCAUUACAAAAUUCGUAGAUGGGUGAAUUUCAAAUGAUAGCUGCUUUUCGGCAUUCAAAUUAUUUCAGGAAGUGUGAAUCCUGUUCACAUAAUGUGAACUGAACCUAGUUUCCUCCCCAUCCUUUUACAUACUCUUCAGCCCUUGUGCUUAGCUGAUGCCUGAUUCUCUACGAACUUAACAGAUGAGAAGGAUUCUGUGCAUCAGACAUUACCCUUGCAGCUGCCAUUUUACCAUAAUUGCCUGGGGAGCUUUCCACUUGUGCCAGUUGAGCAUGACUCACGAUGUCAGUGGUAAGCCUGCCAUUUGUCAAUUAAUUGAUAUUAAAAAGGCUCCGUCAUUUAACCCGCUGACAGCAUUUCAAAGGAUGAGAGCUCAACACGUGCCCUGACGCUGCAUUAAUAGCAGCAGUCUAUCUUUAGUUGGCAUGCAUUAGUUACCAGCAUCCAAAGAGACCGCGGAUCAAUUUUUGCUCAAGCUCGUCCAUCCACUGAGAAGUUUCAUUGUUAUACCAAAAUACUAAUACACCCUUUUAGGCUGUUUUCCACGCACCAGCUGGAUGGAUCUGCCCUUUCUAUCCCAGCUCUACCUGGAGGGAUGAAUUUGUACGUGUGUUGUGUGUGGCAAUAUAUCUUGGUAACUGCCUUAGGUAUUUUUAUUGAAAUAUAAGAGAGAAAUAAUUUAAUUAGUAUUUUAUCUAUUGUGUGUGUACGUACAUCCAUCGAAUCUUCAGACAGGAUACCCUGAUGGGUCUCUGUGUCUCCAAAUUCAGGCAUAGGAACACAGAACCACAAGAAGUCAGACCACUGGCCCAUCUAACUCAGUGCUGUCUACACUGACUGCCAGCAGCUCUCCAGAAUUUCAAGUGGGUUCUUCCCUAGCCAUGACUGGGACCAUUUACAUGCAAGGCAGAUCUUAUACCACUGAGAUACGGCCUUCCCCCGGAAAGACAUGCUCACAGGUUUCAAGCUUGCCAGAACCACAUUUUUGUUUGUUAUUAGACCACAAGGUCCACCAACCAGAGUCAGGUACAGAGCAGGGGCUCCAGCUGCAAAAUAGUGGCCCAAGGGAUGGAGUCAAUUGCUUGUUCCACACCAAAAGCCACAAAUGAGAUGGUGCGGCAUAUAUAAACACCUGAAUUACUACAAAUAACGUACAGAUGCUUAGAGGCUUUUAAACUAUAUAUAUUAAGCAGCUUACAAUGCUUUUAAAUAAUAACAUGAGACACUUAGCAGCCUAAUUUGGUUGUGAGUGGCAGAUUACUUUUUGUUAAACAAUUGGGAGUCCUUGCCGAUAUACGGCGAAUCAUCUGGUGAUCUUCCAGUAGAUCCCAAUAUGUCUUUGCUCUGCGCUUGCUCUCGAUUGUCUGAUACAUGGAUCCAAAGCUUGAUCAUUUUAAUGAUACCAAACCUUGCUUGGGUUUCAUUGAUCUUUAACUAUGUUGUAGGGAAUCCGGGGGUUCCUUAACAAGUUUAGGGAUUCCUCAGCAUUAGGCUUGGUGGACCAAGUUGGUGCUGAAGCAUUGAUUAUUCUGCUGCUCAUAUGAAUGUGCAAUGCUGAGGAGGACUCCCCAAAAACCUCUGCAACACCGAGAGCUUGCAUGACAAAUGUCUGAGAACUUCGUCAGCAGACAAAGUUGAUGCGGGAAAGGUGAUCCGGAAGGUGGAAAGAUUGAAAACUCGCUGGAUUUAGUCACUGUGCAUUCCUCAAAACAGAAAUUUGUUCACUCUCUCUCACACACUCUGUUUGCUUCCUUGGAGGGAAAUGUGCCAUUCCUUGGCCAACAAGCAGUUUUGAAAUGCUUCCCAAAGAGGACGAUGGCCUUUUCUCCCUAUCCAGUUAUUCCCUUUCCAAGCAGGCACAAAACCAAUCAGUGAGAUUACUUGACCAGACUAUUCACUUCCCUCAUCAACUUCCGCCCUCACUGAUGCGUGGUCCGGCAGCGCUGAGACAGUGUGGCCUAGUUCCAGACAAGUGCUCUUAAUUUGCCUGAAAUGGGCUCAGGUAAUUGAGAGUUAUUAACUUGUGGCAAAGGUUGAACGAUGUUUGAAAAUCUGCAAAACCGAGCCAUUCUCCUAAUGCUUCUCAACUGCCUAUGUCUCCUAAUGCUUCUCAACUGCCUAUGUCUGGCUGGCUGAUUGCCUCCAGGUCUUUAUGGGCAAUGGAACAGAUUCAAUGGCAACCAGUCACUGACCCUUAGUCCCACCACAAGUAGGGAAUUGCCCUGUGAUAGAUUUGCAACCUCACUUUCAGUCACUGAUCAGCAGUGGGGAAGAUCUUGUAGAUUUGUGUGUCAUAUUCCCCUAUGAGAUGGUAGAUUAGGGCUGUGUACACACUAGUUAGGUAAAGGUAAAGGGACCCCUGACCAUUAGGUCCAGUUGUGGCCAACUCUGGGGUUGCGGCGCUCAUCGCGCUUUACUGGCCGAGGGAGCCGGCAUACAGCUUCUGGGUCAUGUGGCCAGCAUGACUAAGCCGCUUCUGGCGAACCAGAGCAGCGCAUGGAAAUGCCGUUUACCUUCCCGCCAGAGCGGUACCUAUUUAUCUACUUGCACUUUGACGUGCUUUCGAACUGCUAGGUUGGAAGGAGCAGGGACUGAGCAACGGGAGCUCACCCCAUUGUGGGGAUUCAAACCACCGACCUUCUGAUCGGCAAGCCCUAGGCUCUGUGGUUUAACCCACAGCGCCACCUGCGUCCCGUACACACUAGUUAGUACCACAAAAAAAUGUAGUUUUU